rnacentral:misc_RNA from 1 species
GUAGGUGAACCUGCGGAAGGAUCAUUAUCAACGUUAUCCACGUACUAACCAUUAUCAAAAUGUGAACUGUAUCAAUCCUCUGAGUGAAGCAGUUGGAAGUGCGAUUUCUGUUCGUUCUCGAAAGGGAGCGGGGAGAAAACGCUGUCUUUCUCAGAGUGUACUUUCUAACUAACUAUUAACCUAUUGAACCGAAACUAAAUUACUUCUUUACAUGUGAACUGAAUUAUCAUUCUUUCCCUUCUCUUUCUCUCUCUCUUUUGAGAGUGAUAGAAAAGUGAACGAUGAUCAACUUACGAAACUAAUAAGAACAACCCUUAGCAACGGAUAUCUUGGUUCUC